CCUACGGGUGGCAGCAGUGGGGAAUAUUGGACAAUGGGGGCAACCCUGAUCCAGCCAUGCCGCGUGUGUGAAGAAGGCCCUCGGGUUGUAAAGCACUUUCAGUGAGGAAGAACGCCUGGUGGUUAAUACCCAUCAGGAAAGACAUCACUCACAGAAGAAGCACCGGCUAACUCCGUGCCAGCAGCCGCGGUAAUACGGAGGGUGCGAGCGUUAAUCGGAAUUACUGGGCGUAAAGCGCGCGUAGGUGGCUUGAAAAGCCGGUUGUGAAAGCCCCGGGCUCAACCUGGGAACGGCAUCCGGAACUGUCAAGCUAGAGUGCAGGAGAGGAAGGUAGAAUUCCCGGUGUAGCGGUGAAAUGCGUAGAGAUCGGGAGGAAUACCAGUGGCGAAGGCGGCCUUCUGGACUGACACUGACACUGAGGUGCGAAAGCGUGGGUAGCAAACAGGAUUAGAUACCCUGGUAGUC
rnacentral:rRNA from 1 species